GGUUAAGCGACUAAGCGUACACGGUGGAUGCCCUGGCAGUCAGAGGCGAUGAAGGGCGUGCUAAUCUGCGAUAAGCGCCGGUAAGGUGAUAUGAACCGUUAUAACCGGCGAUACCCGAAUGGGGAAACCCAGUGUGACUCGUCACACUAUCAUUAACUGAAUCCAUAGGUUAAUGAGGCGAACCGGGGGAACUGAAACAUCUAAGUACCCCGAGGAAAAGAAAUCAACCGAGAUUCCCCCAGUAGCGGCGAGCGAACGGGGAGGAGCCCAGAGCCUGAAUCAGCAUGUGUGUUAGUGGAAGCGUCUGGAAAGGCGCGCGAUACAGGGUGA
rnacentral:rRNA from 1 species